UGGGGAAUAUUGGACAAUGGGCGAAAGCCUGAUCCAGCCAUGCCGCGUGUGUGAAGAAGGUCUUCGGAUUGUAAAGCACUUUAAGUUGGGAGGAAGGGCUGUAAGCUAAUACCUUGCUGUUUUGACGUUACCGACAGAAUAAGCACCGGCUAACUCUGUG
rnacentral:rRNA from 1 species